UUCCCACCGCAAGGGUAAGACCCCAGAAAGACUAUCUGGUUGAUAGGUCGAAGGUGUAAGUGCAGUAAUGUAUUUAGCUUAUCGAUACUAAUAGGUCGAGGACUUGACCAAUAUUUAUU
rnacentral:rRNA from 3 species